rnacentral:rRNA from 1 species
CCCCUUUGCGGCAGCUACCAUGCAGUCGAGCGGGUACUUUCGGGUGUCAGCGGCGGACGGGUGAGUAACGCGUGGGAACGUGCCCCUUGGUACGGAAUAGCUCCGGGAAACUGGUGGUAAUACCGUAUAAGCUCUUCGGGGGAAAGAUUUAUCGCCAAGGGAUCGGCCCGCGUUGGAUUAGGUAGUUGGUGGGGUAAUGGCCUACCAAGCCGACGAUCCAUAGCUGGUUUGAGAGGAUGAUCAGCCACACUGGGACUGAGACACGGCCCAGACUCCUACGGGAGGCAGCAGUGGGGAAUCUUAGACAAUGGGGGCAACCCUGAUCUAGCCAUGCCGCGUGAGUGAUGAAGGCCUUCGGGUUGUAAAGCUCUUUCAGUGGGGAAGAUAAUGACGGUACCCACAGAAGAAGCCCCGGCUAACUCCGUGCCAGCAGCCGCGGUAA